rnacentral:lncRNA from 1 species
UCAUAUUGUAUUUUAAUUAGUUAACAAUUUUUUUUGCGUUUUACAAUAACCAGGAAUCAAAGGUAAACAAAUGUGAUUAGCUUACCAUACAUGAACAUUCACAUACCACUUUUAGAAUAAUGAAGAAACUCCAGAUUCUUGACAGUUGGAUUAUUGGAUGAUACAUAAUCAAAUAUCACAAUUGAGGCAAAAACUUAUAUCAUUGAGGUGUUUCUGAAACAUGAAGAAACAAUCAAUAAAAAUAGUAAUUCAUUUAAAUAAAAAAAUAUAUAUAAACAAAAUAAGAGAUUUAUAUAGAGAGAAAACUAACCUGCGGAGAUGCUUCAAAGGAGAACCAAAUUGCAAAUGAAGAGAGAAUAAUAUAAGGACGUGAUAAGAUGAGGAAAUAAAUAGAUUAAUAACAACAACAAACAAAUACAAUAUUGUAAGUGAAAGUUUGAUCGUCCUUGAGAGUGCGACCUUGUAAAUUAGACGCUAACAAAAAUGAUCGUAGGAAGAACAUAUCUAUAAAAUAAUAAAAUCAAUAAGAACGAAUCUACAAAAU